ensembl:lncRNA
GAUCUUUUCUCUGCGGUGAAUUUAUUUCCAUUUUCCUUUAAUAAAGCAGAACCACCGCGUGCUCUGCCGUCUAAUGACUUGCAGCCUGUGGCCUGUCGAAUAUCCCUGUCCCGAUGGGAAGUGUACACAGGCAUAACGCGAUGGUGAUUACGCCGGGGAGAAAUUAGGAACAAGGAGGCUCAAACUCACUCAUCGGAUCCCGCGAGGACCCGCUGCUGCCAGACAGAUUACCCUGGCGAUGCUCGGGGCCUGGGAGCGCGUGGCCCCGCCGCUGGCAGGAAGCUCGGAAGCUUCCGGCACCCUUCUCGCCGCAGACUUUUCACAGCCUUAAAAGCCAGCCUGGUGGGUUCUGCCCGUCACCAGGUACCCGCGUGUGAGUCAGGCGCUCGGGUGGCUGCUGCCUCCUCCCGGGGCGCACCUGUGGUUUGCAGCCACACGCCCGUCCCAGCCUGCGCUGCAGCGGUGGGCUGACGAGGCCUGCAGGGCAGGAUUGGCCGAUUCACGAGGUGUGGCGGGCGUGUCUCGUGGCCCGUAGACCAGAUGACCUCACUGUGUCCCAAUUUCCCCGGUGUGUUUUUCAGUCCUGAACUUGCACACGGGCAGAUGGACUGUGUGACUGAGCUCAUCCCCAGGGCCCCUCCCCUCCCGGCCGGGUUCACAGAGUGCGGAUGCGCGGGCGUCCAUCUGGUCCGCGGGCGUGCACACACCCAGGCUGUCGCGGAUAGCCGGCAGGGGCGUCAGGGGCGGAGGAUCCUGCAAGGUGUUUGGGGUUUCCCACAGAUAAAGCCGGAAGGAGCUCCUGUGAUGGCGAGGCAGGCCCCGCCUCCUGCUUCCCCGAGGGAUUCGAGUGUCUCGGCUGCUGACUUGCUUGAAGAGAGCAGCGGCUCUAAAGAGAUGUCGUGGGAGCAGACGUCUUGGACAGAAGUGCAGUGGCGUGUGUCCAGGGCCCAGUCCUCUGGGAGCUGCCCACCCCGCUUGGGAGCAGAG